GUGAGUUCCAAGGCUUCUGUGCACACCACAGCAUUUUAAGCAUAUGAAAACACCAAUAUUGGUCGACGCCCAUUUAGGGUCUGGAGAACCACAAUCAGCACAUACACGAUUAUCUUUUUGAAGCAAAAGGUCUUUCAAUCUUCUCUUGCUUGAAGUUGGUCUUGUAAGUGCAGACGGGCGCUGGCUCAUUGCUCUCUACUAAGCUGCUCUCCUUCAACUUGACCACCUAAUUUGUGGCAAGAAUAUUGAUUUGGA
rnacentral:misc_RNA from 1 species